AGUGAACGCUGGCGGUAGGCCUAACACAUGCAAGUCGAACGGCAGCACGGUAAGAGCUUGCUCUUACGGGUGGCGAGUGGCGGACGGGUGAGGAAUACAUCGGAAUCUACUUUUUCGUGGGGGAUAACGUAGGGAAACUUACGCUAAUACCGCAUACGACCUACGGGUGAAAGCAGGGGAUCUUCGGACCUUGCGCGAUUGAAUGAGCCGAUGUCGGAUUAGCUAGUUGGCGGGGUAAAGGCCCACCAAGGCGACGAUCCGUAGCUGGUCUGAGAGGAUGAUCAGCCACACUGGAACUGAGACACGGUCCAGACUCCUACGGGAGGCAGCAGUGGGGAAUAUUGGACAAUGGGCGCAAGCCUGAUCCAGCCAUACCGCGUGUGUGAAGAAGGCCUUCGGGUUGUAAAGCCCUUUUGUUGGGAAAGAAAAGCAGCAGGUUAAUACCCCGCUGUUCUGACGGUACCCAAAGAAUAAGCACCGGCUAACUUCGUG
rnacentral:rRNA from 1 species